rnacentral:misc_RNA from 1 species
AUUUGAUAUGGUGUUGAUAAAAGAUAAUCAUAUAUCAGCAGCUGGAGGCAUCUCAAAUGCCAUUAAAUCUGUUGACUUGUAUCUGCAAGAAAGAAAUCUUAAAAUGAACGUUGAGGUUGAGACCAGGACUCUUGAGGAAGUUCAUGAGGUAUUACACUAUGCAACUCAAAACAAUACAUUCUUAACUAGGAUGAUGUUGGAUAAUAUGGUAGUUCCACUCCCAAGUGGCGAUGUUGAUGUGUCCAUGCUUAAGGAGGCUGUAGACAUCAUCAAUGGGAGAUUUGAGACUGAGGCUUCAGGAAAUAUUACUCUGCAAACUAUACAGAAAAUUGGACAAACUGGGGUUACUUACAUAUCCAGUGGUGCGCUGA